rnacentral:miRNA from 1 species
UUUCUUUCUUUCUUUCUUUUUCUUUCUUUCUUUCUUUUUUUAGAGAGAGAGAGAGAGAGAGAGAGAGAGAGAGAGAGAGAAA